rfam:Nicotiana attenuata strain TT chromosome 2, whole genome shotgun sequence.
UGGACAGAUUAUUGUAUUCGACUGUAUUCACGGCGUGAAACAGGGGAUUACACUGUUUUUAAAACGGAAAGUGAAUCAAUUAACAUAAUAGACUCCU